GCCUGGGUGGCUUAGUCGGUUGAGUGUCUGACUUCAGCUCAGGUCAUGAUCUCAUGGUACGUGGGUUCGAGCCCUACAUCAAGGCU
rnacentral:tRNA from 1 species